AUUCGGUGAGGUAGUGACAAGAAAUACCAAUAUAGGACCCAACGGGUACUAUGUUUGGAAUGAGUACAAUUUAAAAACCUUAACGAGGAACAAUUGGAGGGCAAGUCUGGUGCCAGCAGCCGCGGUAAUUCCAGCUCCAAUAGUGUAUAUUAAAGUUGCUGCGGUUAAAAAGCUCGUAGUUGGAUUUUCGGAGUUGUUAUCUGAACCUUCUCGCCAUAAAAAGUGGGGGGGCUAAGGUAGCAGUAGUUUUCAUCAUAGUCCACCAGGAUACUCUCUUGGUGUGUACUGGGUGUUAACCUCCUUUUUUUCUGGUACUUGCUAUCCAGCAAUGGGUAGUUUUGUCCAGAUAGUUUACUUUGAAAAAAUUAGAGUGUUCAAAGCAGGCAUAAUUGGCAUCAUGAAUACAUUAGCAUGGGAUAAUAGAAUAUGACAUUGGUCUUAUUUUGUUGGUUUCUAAGGCCAAAGUAAUGAUUGAUAG
rnacentral:rRNA from 1 species